rnacentral:lncRNA from 1 species
GUGAUUUCCCAGUUAGAGAGAUUUGCAGUUUCUUUUUAGGAGCUUCUAAUCUCCUGCUGACACUGAUGUCUGUCUGCAAUACUAGAAAUUCUCUGAUGUAAUAAGCAAGCUGCUGAAUACCCUUUUGUUUUCUGUGACCAUAGGCAUCCAAAGUAUGCAGUUUCUGUCAAUGCUCCAAGUCAGAGGGAAGAAAUAGGGCAAUUGAGGAUUAAAGUGUUGCAAAUAUGAAUGGAAAACUUCCACCUGAUUCAAGGGAAGUGUCUGUCCUCCAUGGAACGGGAAGAUUGGUCAGGGGCCUAUGCCCCCUCUUGGAGCUGAGUGGCUGGUUUCUUAAGCAUAUCUACAGCAUCCAGCGAACCCCAGAAUUUCUGUUGCAUCUGCAAUCAUCUCUCCAGUCACUUGGGUCCUUCUGCACUCGCUUCCUGCUCUGACUUACGUGGCACUGUUCCGCCAUGUGGCAGGACUCCUCAUCUUUUUGUGGCACUGACACGGUAAGACACUAUAUAUUUCUGACCUUUAUUUUCAACAGAUUGUUCCCUCAACUCAGCAUAAAAUU